AACUGCUUUUAUGCGGGGAUAAAGUGAGGGACGCGUCCCUUUUUGCAGGUACCGCAUGAAUAAGGACCGGCUAAUUCCGUGCCAGCAGCCGCGGUAAUACGGAAGGUCCGGGCGUUAUCCGGAUUUAUUGGGUUUAAAGGGAGCGUAGGCCGGGGAUUAAGUGUGUUGUGAAAUGUAGGCGCCCAACGUCUGACUUGCAGCGCAUACUGGUUCCUUUGAGUACGCGCAACGCCGGCGGAAUUCGUCGUGUAGCGGUGAAAUGCUUAGAUAUGACGAAGAACCCCGAUUGCGAAGGCAGCCGGCGGGAGCGCAACUGACGCUGAAGCUCGAAGGUGCGGGUAUCGAACAGGAUUAGAUACCCUGGUAGUCC
rnacentral:rRNA from 1 species